AACGAACGCUGGCGGCAGGCCUAACACAUGCAAGUCGAGCGAACCUUCGGGUUAGCGGCGGACGGGUGAGUAACGCGUGGGAACGUACCCUCUUCUGCGGGAUAGCCACUGGAAACGGUGAGUAAUACCGUAUGAGCCCUUCGGGGGAAAGAUUUAUCGGCAAAGGAUCGGCCCGCGUUGGAUUAGGUAGUUGGUGGGGUAAUGGCCUACCAAGCCUACGAUCCAUAGCUGGUUUUAGAGGAUGAUCAGCCACACUGGGACUGAGACACGGCCCAGACUCCUACGGGAGGCAGCAGUGGGGAAUCUUAGACAAUGGGGGCAACCCUGAUCUAGCCAUGCCGCGUGUAGUGGAGGAAGGC
rnacentral:rRNA from 1 species